rnacentral:rRNA from 1 species
UCCGUAGGCGGGCAGCUCAGUCAGUGGUGAAAGUUUGCAGCUCAACUGUAAAAUUGCCAUUGAUACUGGUUGUCUUGAAUUAAUGUGAAGUGGUUAGAAUAUGUAGUGUAGCGGUGAAAUGCAUAGAUAUUACACAGAAUACCAAUUGCGAAGGCAGAUCACUAACAUUAUAUUGACGCUGAGGGACGAAAGCGUGGGGAGCGAACAGGAUUAGAUACCCUGGUAGUCC